CUUGACAUCCAGCGAACUUUCCAGAGAUGGAUUGGUGCCUUCGGGAACGCUGAGACAGGUGCUGCAUGGCUGUCGUCAGCUCGUGUUGUGAAAUGUUGGGUUAAGUCCCGNAACGAGCGCAACCCUUAUCCUUUGUUGCCAGCGAUUCGGUCGGGAACUCAAAGGAGACUGCCGGUGAUAAACCGGAGGAAGGUGGGGAUGACGUCAAGUCAUCAUGGCCCUUACGAGUAGGGCUACACACGUGCUACAAUGGCGCAUACAAAGAGAAGCGACCUCGCGAGAGCAAGCGGACCUCAUAAAGUGCGUCGUAGUCCGGAUCGGAGUCUGCAACUCGACUCCGUGAAGUCGGAAUCGCUAGUAAUCGUGGAUCAGAAUGCCACGGUGAAUACGUUCCCGGGCCUUGUACACACCGCCCGUCACACCAUGGGAGUGGGUUGCAAAAGAAGUAGGUAGCUUAACCUCCGGGAGGGCGCUUACCACUUUGUGAUUCAUGACUGGGGUGAAGUCGUAACAAGGUAAGCGUAGCGAG
rnacentral:rRNA from 1 species